rnacentral:rRNA from 1 species
GAUGAACGCUGGCGGCGUGCCUAAUACAUGCAAGUCGAGCGAACAGACGAGGAGCUUGCUCCUUUGACGUUAGCGGCGGACGGGUGAGUAACACGUAGGUAACCUACCUAUAAGACUGGGAUGACUUCGGGAAACCGGAGCUAAUACCGGAUAAUAUUUCGAACCGCAUGGUUCGAUAGUGAAAGAUGGCUUUGCUAUCACUUAUAGAUGGACCUGCGCCGUAUUAGCUAGUUGGUAAGGUAACGGCUUACCAAGGCAACGAUACGUAGCCGACCUGAGAGGGUGAUCGGCCACACUGGAACUGAGACACGGUCCAGACUCCUACGGGAGGCAGCAGUAGGGAAUCUUCCGCAAUGGGCGAAAGCCUGACGGAGCAACGCCGCGUGAGUGAUGAAGGUCUUCGGAUCGUAAAACUCUGUUAUUAGGGAAGAACAAACGUGUAAGUAACUGUGCACGUCUUGACGGUACCUAAUCAGAAAGCCACGGCUAACUACGUG